AUUGAACGCUGGCGGCAGGCCUAACACAUGCAAGUCGAACGAGUGGCGGACGGGUGAGUAAUGUCUGGGAAACUGCCCUAUGGCGGGGGAUAACUACUGGAAACGGUAGCUAAUACCGCAUACCAUCGGAUGUGCCCAGAUGGGAUUAGCUAGUAGGUGGGGUAACGGCUCACCUAUGCGACGAUCCCUAGCUGGUCUGAGAGGAUCACGAGCCAAACUGGAACUGAGACACGGUCCAGACGCCUACGUGAGGCAGCAGUGGGGAAUAUUGCACAAUGGGCGCAGUCCUGAUGCAGCCAUGCCGCGUGUAUGAAGAAGGCCUUCGGGUUGUAAAGUACUUUCAGCGGGGAGGCGUUACCCGCAGAAGAAGCACCGGCUAACUCCGUGCCAGCAGCCGCGGUAAUUC
rnacentral:rRNA from 1 species